rnacentral:rRNA from 1 species
UACGUAGGGGGCAAGCGUUGUCCGGAUUUAUUGGGCGUAAAGAGCGUGUAGGCGGCCAUACAGGUCAGCUGUGAAAACCCGAGGCUCAACCUCGGGCCUGCAGUGGGUACGGGCAGACUAGAGUGCGGUAGGGGAGAUUGGAAUUCCUGGUGUAGCGGUGGAAUGCGCAGAUAUCAGGAGGAACACCGAUGGCGAAGGCAGAUCUCUGGGCCGUAACUGACGCUGAGGAGCGAAAGCAUGGGGAGCGAACAGG